rnacentral:rRNA from 1 species
GAUGAACGCUGGCGGCGUGCCUAAUACAUGCAAGUCGAGCGAACGGACGAGAAGCUUGCUUCUCUGAUGUUAGCGGCGGACGGGUGAGUAACACGUGGAUAACCUACCUAUAAGACUGGGAUAACUUCGGGAAACCGGAGCUAAUACCGGAUGAUAUUUUGAACCGCAUGGUUCAAAAGUGAAAGACGGUUUUGCUGUCACUUAUAGAUGGAUCCGCGCUGCAUUAGCUAGUUGGUAAGGUAACGGCUUACCAAGGCAACGAUGCAUAGCCGACCUGAGAGGGUGAUCGGCCACACUGGAACUGAGACACGGUCCAGACUCCUACGGGAGGCAGCAGUAGGGAAUCUUCCGCAAUGGGCGAAAGCCUGACGGAGCAACGCCGCGUGAGUGAUGAAGGUCUUCGGAUCGUAAAACUCUGUUAUUAGGGAAGAACAUAUGUGUAAGUAACUGUGCACAUCUUGACGGUACCUAAUCAGAAAGCCACGGCUAACUACGUG